UUAAUUUUUUAUUUUCCUAUUUUUUUAAAUUUUCCUUUUCCUUUUAUUUCUUAGAUACACUUGCCUUAGACCCUGAAGCUUGGAUUUGUCACAGGGCAGCUGAUGCUACUACAAGACUAGCUGCAUUUCACAGCAGAUGCCUAGGCCUAAGACAUUAUUUUAAAAAGUAGCAUGGGAGUCACACAGAACAUGCCAAAUCAGCCCGCUACAGACAGGUAGGUCUGUGCACGCCCUACUGAGGUCCUGAGUCAUGCAGAAGAUACCAAAUCACCCCGCUGCAGACAGGCAGGUCUGCCCACGCCCUACCGAGGUCCCGAGUC
rnacentral:lncRNA from 1 species